AUAUCUCUAUUCUAGAUUGCUCCACACCUGCUGGCAUCUCCCCAGGUGGACAUUUCAUACAGUAAAGUAAUAAAUUGUAUUAUAUUUCAGGUCAUUCAUUCUCUUUAUAUAUAUUGCACUACACCUGCUGGAUCGCCACAGGUCAUUCAUUCUCUUUAUAUAUAUUGCACUACACCUGCUGGAUCGCCACAGGUCAAUCAUUCAUUCUCUUUAUAUAUAUUGCACUACACCUGCUGGAUCGCCACAGGUCAUUCAUUCUCUUUAUAUAUAUUGCACUACACCUGCUGGAUCGCCACAGGUCAUUCAUUCUCUUUAUAUAUAUUGCACUACACCUGCUGGAUCGCCACAGGUCAUUCAUUCACUUUAUAUAUAUUGUACUACACCUGCUGGAUCGCCACAGGUCAUUCAUUCACUUUAUAUAUAUUGUACUACACCUGCGGGAUCGCCCCAGGUCAUUCAUUCUCUUUAUAUAUAUUGCAAUACACCUGCUGGAUCGCCACAGGUUGUUUAUUAUCUUAAUAAUUACGUAUUAAU